UACGUAGGGGGCUAGCGUUGUCCGGAAUCAUUGGGCGUAAAGAGCGUGUAGGCGGCCCGGUAAGUCCGCUGUAAAAGUCAAAGGCUCAACCUUUGAAUGUCAGUGGAUACUGCCGGGCUAGAGUCCGGAAGAGGCGAGUGGAACUCCUGGUGUAGCGGUGAAAUGCGCAGAUAUCAGGAGGAACACCAAUUGCGAAGGCAGCUCGCUGGGACGUUACUGACGCUGAGACGCGAAAGCGUGGGGAGCAAACAGG
rnacentral:rRNA from 1 species